rnacentral:miRNA from 1 species
UUUUGUAUAUGUUUGUAUUACGUGCGGAAAUAGUUACUAUUUUCGGCUAAAAAAUGGUAACAAUUUCCGCACGUAAUCCAAACAUAUACAAAAUAUCAAACUU